CACGAACCGUACGAACGUUAUUCGGAAUUACUGGGCUUAAAGGGUUUGUAGGCGGCCACGUAAGUCAGGUGUGAAAUCCCUCGGCUCAACCGAGGAAUGGCGCUUGAUACUGCGUGGCUUGAGGGAGACAGGGGUAAGCGGAACUGAUGGUGGAGCGGUGAAAUGCGUUGAUAUCAUCAGGAACACCGGUGGCGAAAGCGGCUUACUGGGUCUCUUCUGACGCUGAGGAACGAAAGCUAGGGUAGCAAACAGG
rnacentral:rRNA from 1 species